rnacentral:rRNA from 1 species
AACGAACGCUGGCGGCAUGCCUAACACAUGCAAGUCGAACGAACCCUUCGGGGUUAGUGGCGCACGGGUGCGUAACGCGUGGGGAUCUGCCCUUUGCUUCGGAAUAACAGUUAGAAAUGACUGCUAAUACCGGAUGAUGUCGCAAGACCAAAGAUUUAUCGGCAAAGGAUGAACCCGCGUAGGAUUAGCUAGUUGGUGGGGUAAAGGCCUACCAAGGCGACGAUCCUUAGCUGGUCUGAGAGGAUGAUCAGCCACACUGGGACUGAGACACGGCCCAGACUCCUACGGGAGGCAGCAGUGGAGAAUAUUGGACAAUGGGCGAAAGCCUGAUCCAGCAAUGCCGCGUGAGUGAUGAAGGCCUUCGGGUUGUAAAGCUCUUUUACCAGGGAUGAUAAUGACAGUACCUGGAGAAUAAGCUCCGGCUAACUCCGUGCCAGCCGCCGCCGUAAAAC